GACGUAGGGGGGCAAGCGUUUGUCCGGAUUUACUGGGCGUAAAGAGCGUGUAGGCGGCCACGCAGGUCCGUUGUGAAAACUGGAGGCUCAACCUUCAGACGUCGACGGAAACCGUGUGGCUAGAGUCCGGAAGAGGAGAGUGGAAUUCCUGGUGUAGCGGUGAAAUGCGCAGAUAUCAGGAAGAACACCAAUGGCGAAGGCAGCUCUCUGGGACGGUACUGACGCUGAGACGCGAAAGCGUGGGGAGCGAACAGG
rnacentral:rRNA from 1 species